UGGAAGAUUGAAGUUUCGAAGUGUUACCCAGCUCGCGUGUUUUCGUCGGUUCAUCGUUACCCGAAUAGUUUUCAGUAAUUCCGUACCGGUUGAUCAUUCUUUUGGAGUUCGGUCGCGUGAUGGAUAGUCUACGUCAAGUUGUGGCGAUUCUCCUAGGCUCUGCAAAGGCCAAAGUUACAUUACGUUCAUGUUAUAGUUUUAACACAGGGGUUUUCAUUAAUUCAGUUUUUUCCCAUUAUGUCAAGGGUUCAUUGGUAUGGUUGGAUGAUUGUAAUGGCUUGUUGCAACAGAUUUCUUGGAACAGAGCUUUUUAAACUGUUUUUUUUAAUUUGGUUAGACUAAAUUGAUGGUUUUUAAGUAUAUCAUGUCAUGUUUCCUCAAACAUUUCUAGAAGAUUAAUAUCAAACUUACUGUAAUUUUGUGGACAGCUUUGAAUACCUGGCCUGAAAUGUCACUUUUAGCUUUAGUCAUUUAUAUAGCAUUUUUAUCCUGUUUUUCAAUUAGUUUAUGAAACUAUAGUAGUUGCAUUUAACCUGCAGUAUGAAUGUAGCUUUCAGGAUCAGAGAUCUGAUAGUCAGUUUAGCUUAAUAUUUAAUUUAAUAUUUAAUUUACAAUUUACUUGGGCGCCUCAGUGGCGUGAUCGGUAUGGUCUUGGCCUGCCACCUCCGUGGCCGUGAAUUAGAUUCCUGGGCAUUCCACAGAGGGGUUAGGGAUGUGUAUUUGUGGUGAUAGAAAUUCACCCUCAACGUGGUUCGGAAGUCACGUGAAGCCGUUGGUCCCGUUGCUGAAUAACCACUGGUUCCAUGCAACGUGAAAACGCCAUACAAACUAAAUACAAUUUACUUGAUAUGUGACAUCUAUACUUCGCUUGAGAAAGGUCAGUUCUCCAGCCAGGAAGUUUCUCUUUACUCAAAAACUUAAUUUCAUGAAGAAAGAAAUUGAGGUCAAAAUUCUCCCGCCUGAAAGUUUCUCGUACACUCAAAAACUCCCAAUGUAUGACUUAAGGUUGUGCAUUUGAGUAGUUGGGACUCCCGUUAUUAAAAACACUGGUGUUUCGUUGCUUUUACAACACUAUUUUGAGGUGAGGCAGGAGUCUGGUGUUACUGAUUUAGUGCACUUUUAUGCCAAAAGUUUUCUUGCUUUAAAAGGUGU